GAGUUUGAUCCUGGCUCAGAACGAACGCUGGCGGCAUGCCUAACACAUGCAAGUCGAACGGGAUCCAGGCUUCGGCCUGGUGAGAGUGGCGGACGGGUGAGUAACGCGUGGGAACCUGCCCAAUGGUCUGGGAUAACCGCGGGAAACUGCGGCUAAUACCGGAUAAGCCCGAGAGGGGAAAGAUUUAUCGCCGAUGGAGGGGCCCGCGUCCGAUUAGGUAGUUGGUGAGGUAACGGCUCACCAAGCCGACGAUCGGUAGCUGGUCUGAGAGGAUGAUCAGCCACACUGGGACUGAGAUACGGCCCAGACUCCUACGGGAGGCAGCAGUGGGGAAUAUUGGACAAUGGGGGCAACCCUGAUCCAGCAAUGCCGCGUGAGUGAUGAAGGCCUUAGGGUUGUAAAGCUCUUUUGGCGGGGACGAUGAUGACGGUACCCGCAGAAUAAGCCCCGGCUAACUUCGU
rnacentral:rRNA from 1 species